rnacentral:lncRNA from 1 species
AUGGGCCCCGGGGAGGAGAAACUGAGGAAGGGGAGGAAGUACGUGCUGCGGAAGGAGAAGAAGUGCGUGGGAGAGAGUCUACGUGUGCCUGCGGGUGGCCGGUGUAGCUGCGCCCGUGACUCACAGCAGUGGCCUCUGAGAGUGACGGCGACUGACAAACAGGUGAGCCUACGACACAAUCAAUCCCUCCCUCCCUCCCUCCCUCCCGGGGUCCGUGACUCACCGCGCCUCCUUGUUCGCUCAUCCCUCCACUCCCUCCCUGACCCCCACCGGCCGGGGGCGCCCGGCACACGCCGCAGCUCCCGCAGCCUCCCCAAGGGGGGAGCCCGAGGAGGAAGGCGACAAAUGUCACCUGCUCCGGCCACGCGAGGAACUUCUGAAAAGUUCUCAGGCAACUGGGUCAAAAGGAAACUCGCCCGCGGACGCACGCCCCCGUCGCCUUGCCGCUCGCGCGCAAGCCCUGCUCUGCCCCACUCGCGCAGAGCUCGGGGAGCCGUGACUUCUCUCGGGGUUACCGCGGCGGGCGGGGGAGGGGAGCAGAAAACCUGCGACUCCCGCUGGCCGGACCCCCGGUCCCCGACUCCGGCCGCGGCACGCCGUCAAAGCCGGGCAGCUCCCGCCCCCGCGCCCGCUCAGGGUGCUGAGGAGAGAACCGCAGGAGGCAGGAGCGGCAGUGCCACUCGCGCUGAACGCCCCCUCCCCAAAGUCCCGUCCUGCCGGGCCCAAGGCCCUUCGGCGCUCACCUGCAAUCCGGACGCUCGCGGAGGACAACGACGCGACCCGCGUCCCGGUGGGGGACGCCCCCAGCGCCGCGACUCUGUGCGCUCGGCCCGGCAGCCGUCGGUCCAGCAGCCCCUAGCUCUGCGCGUCCGGCAGCGGCGGCGGCGGCGGGAGACUGGCUGCGCCCAGCCCCGCCCGCCGCUCCGCCCUCCUCGUCAGUGGAAAACUCCGGGGCUCACUGCGCUGACGCACGCCGGGCCUCCAGCCAGGCCGCCCGGCAGCCCCGCCCCGGAGGCGCCGCCUCCUCCCCCGCCUGGAGCCUGGCGCAGCGGCCUGGGGGCCUCCCUGCGGACUCUGACCCGGCGACUGCGCCUCCGCCGCUCUCCGCCCCCAGCCCUCUCCCGCCAGAGCCCUCCCCGCCCCGCUUCCAGCACCGUCCCUAAAGGCGCGGACGACUCAAGCUGGCAGAGCCGGGAGUAG